rnacentral:rRNA from 1 species
UUAAUAGUAAGAUYUGCUCAAUGAAAAUAUUUCAAUAGCCGCAAUUAGUGCUAAGGUAGCAUAAUCAUUUGUCUUUUAAAUAAAGACUAGAACAAAAGAUUUAACAUUUUAUUCUAUUUAUUUAACUUUUAACUUAAAAUUAACCUAAAUGUAAAAAGGCAUUUAUUUAAAAUGAAAGACGACAAGACCCUAUUGAACUUAACUUUUGUUUAACUGGGGCAGUCAAUUAAUUAACAUUUUAGUUAAAAUAUUACAAUUAAUAUCUAAUACUAUUAAAUAAUCCAGUUACCAUAGGGAUAACAGCGCAAUUAUUUUUUCAAGUUCUAAUAUAAAAAAUAGAUUACGACCUCGAUGUUGAAUUAAUAACCUAAUUAAAGCAAACUUUAAAAAAGGGAGUCUGUUCGACUCUUAAACAAUUACAUGAUUUGAGUUCAGACCGGUGUAAGCCAGGUCGGAUUCUAUCUUCAAGCAAUAUUUAUACAGUACGAAAGGGCCUAUCAAUAUAAUAAUAUUAUAAUAUUAGCAAAUAAAUGCAUUAGAAUUAGAAUCUAAUCAAUCUUUAA